GCCCAUGUCAUAAAAACUUAUGAAAAAAAAUUAAUAAUCAAAUAAUAAUAAUAAUAACAGCAAAUGGUGUUUAUGAUCAAUAUAAUCUUCAAAUAGAUGGGUUGCUUGGGUUGCUGGCGUUGCUUGGAUUGCUAGGGUUGCUGGCGUUGCUUGGAGUAUUGCUACUGUUGGUUGGGUGGCCUGCUGGGUUAGAGCUGUUGUCUGCGUUCAUUCCCAGAGUGUUCUUCACUGCCUCUGCAGCUCCUUGGGCCAUGUUCUUCACUUGCUCUCCUGUCUGCAAACACAUAUGUAAG
rnacentral:misc_RNA from 1 species